rnacentral:rRNA from 1 species
AACAAACGCUGGCGGCGUGCCUAACACAUGCAAGUCGUACGAGAAAUCCUGGGCAACUGGGAAAGUAAAGUGGCGCACGGGUGAGUAACGCGUGGGUAACCUACCCUAAAAUUGGGGAUAACUCCGCGAAAGCGGGGCUAAUACCGAAUAAUAAUCCGACUCUUAAGGGAGUUGGAAUCAAAGGUGGCCUCUGCAUGCAAGCUAUCGUUUUAGGAUGGGCCCGCGUACCAUUAGCUUGUUGGUAGGGUAAUGGCCUACCAAGGCGACGAUGGUUAGCUGGUCUGAGAGGAUGGCCAGCCACACUGGAACUGAGACACGGUCCAGACUCCUACGGGAGGCAGCAGUGGGGAAUCUUGCGCAAUGGGGGAAACCUUGACGCAGCAACGCCGCGUGGGUGAUGAAGGCCUUCGGGUCGUAAAGCCCUGUCAGGUGGGAAGAAUUGUGUCGGUGCUAAUAUCACCGAUGCUUGACGGUACUACCGGAGGAAGCACCGGCCAACUCCGUGCCAGCCGCCGCAGUAAGAC